CGAAAGCCUGACGGAGCAAUACCGCGUGAGGGAUGACGGCCUAUGGGUUGUAAACCCCUUUUCUCAGGGAAGAACCAAAUGACGGUACCUGAGGAAUCAGCCUCGGCUAACUCCGUGCCAGCAGCCGCGGUAAUACGGAGGAGGCAAGCGUUAUCCGGAAUGAUUGGGCGUAAAGCGUUCGUAGGUGGCUAUUCAAGUCUGCUGUCAAAGACAGAAGCUCAACUUCUGAAAGGCAGUGGAAACUGAGUAGCUGGAGUGCGGUAGGGGUAGAGGGAAUUCCCAGUGUAGCGGUGAAAUGCGUAGAUAUUGGGAAGAAUAUCGGUGGCGAAGGCGCUCUGCUGGACCAUAACUGACACUCACAGGACGAAAGCUAGGGGAGCG
rnacentral:rRNA from 1 species